rnacentral:rRNA from 1 species
UAAACGGGGAGCUUACCAUGCAGUCGAACGGCAGCACGGACUUCGGUCUGGUGGCGAGUGGCGAACGGGUGAGUAAUGUAUCGGAACGUGCCCAGUAGCGGGGGAUAACUACGCGAAAGCGUAGCUAAUACCGCAUACGCCCUACGGGGGAAAGCAGGGGAUCGCAAGACCUUGCACUAUUGGAGCGGCCGAUAUCGGAUUAGCUAGUUGGUGGGGUAACGGCUCACCAAGGCGACGAUCCGUAGCUGGUUUGAGAGGACGACCAGCCACACUGGGACUGAGACACGGCCCAGACUCCUACGGGAGGCAGCAGUGGGGAAUUUUGGACAAUGGGGGAAACCCUGAUCCAGCCAUCCCGCGUGUGCGAUGAAGGCCUUCGGGUUGUAAAGCACUUUUGGCAGGAAAGAAACGUCGCGGGUUAAUACCCCGCGAAACUGACGGUACCUGCAGAAUAAGCACCGGCUAACUACGUGCCAGCAGCGGCCGGUAAUAA